rnacentral:rRNA from 1 species
UGGGGAAUAUUGCACAAUGGGCGAAAGCCUGAUGCAGCGACGCCGCGUGAGGGAUGACGGCCUUCGGGUUGUAAACCUCUUUCAGCAGGGACGAAGCGCAAGUGACGGUACCUGCAGAAGAAGCACCGGCUAACUACGUGCCAGCAGCCGCGGUAAUACGUAGGGUGCAAGCGUUGUCCGGAAUUACUGGGCGUAAAGAGUUCGUAGGCGGUUUGUCGCGUCGUUUGAGAAAACCAGCAGCUCAACUGCUGGCUUGCAGGCGAUACGGGCAGACUUGAGUACUGCAGGGGAGACUGGAAUUCCUGGUGUAGCGGUGAAAUGCGCAGAUAUCAGGAGGAACACCGGUGGCGAAGGCGGGUCUCUGGGCAGUAACUGACGCUGAGGAACGAAAGCGUGGGUAGCGAACAGG